rnacentral:piRNA from 1 species
UGGGAAAGAUGCUGCAGUUGUGGCCACAG